GACGAACGCUGGCGGCGUGCCUAAUACAUGCAAGUAGGACGCAGUUGCGAACGGGUGAGUAACGCGUAGGUAACUACCUAUUAGAGGGGGAUAACAAUUGGAAACGAUAGCGAAUACCGCAUACUAGUAGAUUGACCUGCGUUGUAUUAGCUAGUAGGUAGGGUAAUGGCCUACCUAGGCAACGGUACAUAGGCGCCCUGAGAGGGUGAACGGCCAAACUUGGACUGAGGAAAGGCCCAGACUCCUACGGGAGGCAGCAGUAGGGAAUCUUCGGCAAUGGGGGGAACCCUGACCGAGCAACGCCGCGUGAGUGAAGGAGGUUUUCGGAUCGUAAAGCUCUGUUGUUAAGGAAGCGGUACUUAACCAGAAAGCGACGGCUAACUACGUGCCAGCAGCCGCGGUAAUAC
rnacentral:rRNA from 1 species